rnacentral:rRNA from 1 species
GAUGAACGCUGGCGGCGUGCCUAAUACAUGCAAGUCGAGCGAACAGAUGAGGAGCUUGCUCCUCUGACGUUAGCGGCGGACGGGGGAGUAACACGUGGAUAACCUACCUAUAAGACUGGGAUAACUUCGGGAAACCGGAGCUAAUACCGGAUAAUAUAUUGAACCGCAUGGUUCAAUAGUGAAAGACGGUUUUGCUGUCACUUAUAGAUGGAUCCGCUCCGCAUUAGCUAGUUGGUAAGGUAACGGCUUACCAAGGCCACGAUGCGUAACCGAACUGAGAGCGUGCUCCGCCACACUGAAUCUGAGAGACGGUCCAGACACCUACAAGAAGCCGCAGUAGGGAAUGUUACGCGAUAGGCGAAAGCCUGACGGUACAACACCGCGUGAGUGAUGAAGGUCUUCGGAUCGUAAAACUCUGUUAUUAGGGAAGAACAAAUGUGGAAGUAACUAUGCACGUCUUGACGGUACCUAAUCAGAAAGCCACGGCUAACUACGAG